rnacentral:rRNA from 1 species
GAAGUCGUAACAAGGUAACCGUAGGAGAACCUGCGGUUGGAUCACCUCCUUUCAGAGAAAGUUC